UACGUAGGGGGCAAGCGUUGUCCGGAAUCAUUGGGCGUAAAGCGCGUGUAGGCGGCUGGGUAAGUCCGCUCUGAAAGCCCGGGGCUCAACCCCGGGAGGCGGGUGGAUACUGCUCAGCUCGAGUCCGGAAGAGGAGUGUGGAAUUCCUGGUGUAGCGGUGAAAUGCGCAGAUAUCAGGAGGAACACCAAUGGCGAAGGCAGCACUCUGGGACGGUACUGACGCUGAGACGCGAAAAGCGUGGGGAGCGAACAGG
rnacentral:rRNA from 1 species